rnacentral:rRNA from 1 species
ACGGGUGAGGAAUGCAUGGGUAACCUACCCUCGAGUGGGGAAUAACUAGCCGAAAGGUUAGCUAAUACCGCGUACGACUCCCGGACUGCGGUUCGGGAGGGAAAGCGAUACCGUGGGUAUCGCGCUCUUGGAUGGGCUCAUGCCCUAUCAGCUUGUUGGUGAGGUAACGGCUCACCAAGGCAUCGACGGGUAGCUGAUCUGAGAGGAUGAUCAGCCACACUGGCACUGCGACACGGGCCAGACUCCUACGGGAGGCAGCAGUAAGGAAUAUUGCGCAAUGGGCGAAAGCCUGACGCAGCGACGCCGCGUGGGGGAUGAAGGUCUUCGGAUUGUAAACCCCUUUCGGGAGGGAAGAUGGGAUGGGGUAACCCAUCCGGACGGUACCUCCAGAAGCAGCCACGGCUAACUUCGUGCCAGCAGCCGCGGUAAUACGAAGGGUGGGCCAAGGCGGUUUGGUUUCGGGAUUUUUAACCUGGGGGGCCGGGUAUACCAAGGGGGGGAAGAGCCGGGUUAAAGGGGCCCGGGGGGUUUUGGGGGGAAAUAUAAAAAACCCCCCCUCCUCUCCCCCCGUGGUGAAAAAAAAUAUU